rnacentral:rRNA from 1 species
CAGUCGCCACGGUAAUACGAAGGGUGCAAGCGUUAAUCGGAAUUACUGGGCGUAAAGCGCGCGUAGGCGGUGAGUUAAGUCUGCUGUGAAAUCCCCGGGCUCAACCUGGGAACGGCAGUGGAUACUGGCUCGCUAGAGUGUGUCAGAGGAUAGUGGAAUUUCCGGUGUAGCAGUGAAAUGCGUAGAGAUCGGAAGGAACAUCUGUGGCGAAGGCGACUAUCUGGGCCAACACUGACACUGAGGCACGAAAGCGUGGGGAGCAAACAGGAUUAGAUACCCCAGUAUCCCUGUCUCUUAUACA